AGUGAACGCUGGCGGUAGGCCUAACACAUGCAAGUCGAACGGCAGCACAGUAAGAGCUUGCUCUUACGGGUGGCGAGUGGCGGACGGGUGAGGAAUACAUCGGAAUCUACUUUUUCGUGGGGGAUAACGUAGGGAAACUUACGCUAAUACCGCAUACGACCUACGGGUGAAAGCAGGGGAUCUUCGGACCUUGCGCGAUUGAAUGAGCCGAUGUCGGAUUAGCUAGUUGGCGGGGUAAAGGCCCACCAAGGCGACGAUCCGUAGCUGGUCUGAGAGGAUGAUCAGCCACACUGGAACUGAGACACGGUCCAGACUCCUACGGGAGGCAGCAGUGGGGAAUAUUGGACAAUGGGCGCAAGCCUGAUCCAGCCAUACCGCGUGGGUGAAGAAGGUCUUCGGGUUGUAAAGCCCUUUUGUUGGGAAAGAAAAGUAGCAGGUUAAUACCCCGCUGUUCUGACGGUACCCAAAGAAUAAGCACCGGCUAACUUCGUG
rnacentral:rRNA from 1 species